rnacentral:rRNA from 1 species
GACGUAGGGCGCGAGCGUUGUCCGGAUUUAUUGGGCGUAAAGAGCUCGUAGGCGGCUUGUUGCGUCGACUGUGAAAACCCGCGGCUUAACUGCGGGCUUGCAGUUGAUACGGGCAGGCUAGAGUUCGGUAGGGGAGACUGGAAUUCCGUGGUGUAGCGGUGAAAUGCGCAGAUAUCAGGAGGAACACCGGUGGCGAAGGCGGGUCUCUGGGCCGAUGACUGACGCUGAGGAGCGAAAGCAUGGGGAGCGAACAGG